GAGAGCACAACUCCUGGCUGCAGCUGAAGAAGGAGGACGAUUGAUUUCUGUCAGUUCGCUCUAACGUUACAGUUUGCUCCACUUUGCUCUGUGGUUUAUAUGUUUUCUUCUUACCAUUGCUUGUAAGCUGGAUUGAGUAAGAUGGAUCAUCUUUAAAGGAACCAGGAGUUAAGGCAGAUGUGGAGGCACACGGGUGACACCAGACACACACCAAGCACAUUGUUCGGACAUUCAAUCAUGACAUGAUCCAUGUGGAUGCUGUCCAUUGAGGAAAGAGUUUGUUCAGAGGUUUCUGGACAGAAUUAAUCCCAAAGAUGGGAAAAAGUGCACAUCCACACAAGGAGCAAGCAAAAAGACAAGGAACUUGGUGCAGAGAAAAGCUGUGGCCAUUAACCCCCAUGUGAACAGCUUCAUGCAGUCCCUGAUAGAGUUUGAAUGGGUGACUUCAAACUAAAGGCCAGUGUCAGUCUGCCACAGUUUAAUGCAUUUAUUUUUAGUGUUCAAUAAAAUUCAAAUAGAAUAUUUAAAACUAUGGGCCAGUGUUCCUUUUACCACAGUUAAAUGUUACCUUUUAGUUGAUGAUGGACUUAAAACUUCAAACUAUGGAACAGUGUUCUUUUUACCACAGUGAAAUGCUACCUUUUAGUCGAUGAUGGACUUUAAACUGAAAACUUCAAACUAUGGACCAGUGUUCUAUUUGCCAGAGUUAAAUAUAUUACA